rnacentral:rRNA from 1 species
ACGGCUCAGUAACACGUGGAUAACCUGCCCUUGGGUCCGGCAUAACCCCGGGAAACUGGGGAUAAUUCCGGAUAACGCACAUAUGCUGGAAUGCUUUAUGCGUAAAAUGGAUUCGUCUGCCCAAGGAUGGGUCUGCGGCCUAUCAGGUAGUAGUGGGUGUAAUGUACCUACUAGCCUACGACGGGUACGGGUUGUGAGAGCAAGAGCCCGGAGAUGGAUUCUGAGACAUGAAUCCAGGCCCUACGGGGCGCAGCAGGCGCGAAAACUUUACAAUGCGGGAAACCGUGAUAAGGGGACACCGAGUGCCAGCAUCAUAUGCUGGCUGUCCGGGUGUGUAAAAUACACCUGUUAGCAAGGGCCGGGCAAGACCGGUGCCAGCCGCCGCGGUAACACCGGCGGCCCGAGUGGUGAUCGUGAUUAUUGGGUCUAAAGGGUCCGUAGCCGGUUUGGUCAGUCCUCCGGGAAAUCUGACAGCUCAACUGUUAGGCUUUCGGAGGAUACUGCCAGACUUGGAACCGGGAGAGGUAAGAGGUACUACAGGGGUAGGAGUGAAAUCUUGUAAUCCCUGUGGGACCACCUGUGGCGAAGGCGUCUUACCAGAACGGGUUCGACGGUGAGGGACGAAAGCUGGGGGCACGAACCGGAUUAGAUACCCGGGUAGUCCCAGCCGUAAACGAUGCUCGCUAGGUGUCAGGCAUGGCGCGACCGUGUCUGGUGCCGCAGGGAAGCCGUGAAGCGAGCCACCUGGGAAGUACGGCCGCAAGGCUGAAACUUAAAGGAAUUGGCGGGGGAGCAC